rnacentral:tRNA from 1 species
GUUGACUUCGGAUAGUUGGUUUAUUCCGUAAGGUUUAGGCCCUUUACCUUAAUUGGUGCAUGGGUUCGAAUCCCAUAGUCAACA